UCGAUAGUUCUGGAGACUGAAGUCCUCUAUUUAGCCACAGAACAAGUUUGUCAUGGGUGUCAGGUAAUUUAAGUUCCACACAUCAUCCUGCCAAUGUACAUCAACCCAAAUCUGAGGGGACCAUUAGUAAGGGCAAGGUGGUUACUCAAUCUCCAUGCUCACUCAGGCCUUGGACUCU
rnacentral:sRNA from 1 species